ACCAACCAAUGAAAUAUUUCCGUACGUGUAUGUGUGUUGCAAAGGGGAAUCGACAGCGUCUGCUCCUGCAUAGUUGCUCAUUUCCUAAUUUAUCCUUUAAUUCCCAGACAUGGUCUUUGACACAACAUACAAGCACAACAAGGAGAUGUACUGGUUUUCCAAUACCAGUCUUAUCCAGUUGGCAUAUUAACUCAGUGCGUCACAGUGAGUGUGUUUUUAUGGGUACGUGGUUUGGGCUUUCGGGUUGCCUAUGUAGGCUGAGGGCUAACAUUAUCGACAGAUUUGCCUCGUCGAAAGCAGAAAUCCAAUUGAUGUCAUUGAGCCCUGAUUUAACCAACCUCCACUCACCCUGCAGUGGACCUACUUCUGCCCUGUUGCCAAUCAGUGUCCUUAAUGCACACCUUGCCUUUUUGUUACUUAAAAAAGAAGUGUGUAUUUAAAAAAAAAACUGCAUUGUUGGUUAAGGACUUGUAAAUAAGCAUUUCACUGUAAGGUCUACAGCUGUUGUAUUCGGCAUUUCACUGUAAGGUCUACAGCUGUUGUAUUCGGCAUUUCACUGUAAGGUCUACAGCUGUUGUAUUCGGCAUUUCACUGUAAGGUCUACAGCUGUUGUAUUCGGCAUUUCACUGUAAGGUCUACAGCUGUUGUAUUCGGCAUUUCACUGUAAGGUCUACAGCUGUUGUAUUCAGCAUUUCACUGUAAGGUCUACAGCUGUUGUAUUCAGCAUUUCACUGUAAGGUCUACAGCUGUUGUAUUCAGCAUUUCACUGUAAGGUCUACAGCUGUUGUAUUCAGCAUUUCACUGUAAGGUCUACAGCUGUUGUAUUCAGCAUUUCACUGUAAGGUCUACAGCUGUUGUAUUCAGCAUUUCACUGUAAGGUCUACAGCUGUUGUAUUCAGCAUUUCACUGUAAGGUCUACAGCUGUUGUAUUCAGCAUUUCACUGUAAGGUCUACAGCUGUUGUAUUCAGCAUUUCACUGUAAGGUCUACAGCUGUUGUAUUCAGCAUUUCACUGUAAGGUCUACAGCUGUUGUAUUCAGCAUUUCACUGUAAGGUCUACAGCUGUUGUAUUCAGCAUUUCACUGUAAGGUCUACAGCUGUUGUAUUCAGCAUUUCACUGUAAGGUCUACAGCUGUUGUAUUCAGCAUUUCACUGUAAGGUCUACAGCUGUUGUAUUCAGCAUUUCACUGUAAGGUCUACAGCUGUUGUAUUCAGCAUUUCACUGUAAGGUCUACAGCUGUUGUAUUCAGCAUUUCACUGUAAGGUCUACAGCUGUUGUAUUCAGCAUUUCACUGUAAGGUCUACAGCUGUUGUAUUCAGCAUUUCACUGUAAGGUCUACAGCUGUUGUAUUCAGCAUUUCACUGUAAGGUCUACAGCUGUUGUAUUCAGCAUUUCACUGUAAGGUCUACAGCUGUUGUAUUCGGCGCAUGUGACAAAUACAAUUUGAUUUGAUUAUUGGAUUGUGGGGAUUUGUGUUCCAACAAAGGGGCAGGAAUAAUAGGGCUCAGAAUAAGACAUUACUCACUUGGUGAAAAUCAAGAAUCUUGUGGUUUUAUACCAGAAAUCCCUCAGCUCUCCUCUUUGAUCGUCAACCCGGAUGAGAACAAUCCUAUUCUCUGAUCUCCGCCCAAAUCCACCACAUUAACAUCAGAGGAAAUAAAGAGGGAACGGUUUGAAACGGGGAGAUUUUCUGUUGAAUUAGAGUUUUGCUACGGUGGGCCUCACUUAACAUGACCCAGGUGCACCAUAGCAGCCUGGGAUGGCCUUCCAUGGAGUCCCAACCUACUAACCACAGCUCUUGGCUGCUAGGAUGGGCUACGUUCCAAUCCAAGCCCACAGAACCCUCAUGCUGUUUGCUUUAUACUCAUCUCCUCUCUCCUUUCUCUGUCUAGAAUAAUAUAUGCAUGAGGUUUGAAUGGAAGCCUUUGAUUGGGCUCCAGACGGAGCUGUAGGCCUGGUGUAGUUGCAGGCCUGGGUUUCAAGAUGUGAAUGAUCCUGUGGAGGAAGAAAGAGUGUUUUUAGAGGCCCGGUAUCGCCUUGUUUCCCUGUAACGUUGUAUUUCAUUGUCGCGGAUGCAGCUAGUGACAUUUUUAAUGCAGUGUGUACACACUGAGUGAAUUGUGCCGUGGCACAGCCGGGUGAUUGUUGUGUUUGCUGAAGAGUCUGAGUGUGUGUGUGCGGCGGCGGGGUUGGCAUGACGCUCCCUAGUUUGGCACGCUGCCAGUUGGUCUCACAGACCCUUCAUUCAGCAGUCCUCCUCUCUCGUGUGUGUGCGUGCGUGCGUGCGUGCGUGCGUGUGUGGACUCUGCAGCUGGGCAAAGGGGCAGUGUCCAUAGCGAUCAAAUGGCAUUAUGCCAUCAUCUCCUUACUCCUUAAUUUAGCAAUGAACUUGGCUGAGAAGUGAGAACACACUCUUAUUAACUACCAGUUAGUGAUUUAAAGAAACGUUGCAAGAUUUGCCAUUGCAAAUGAUUUGAAACCUGAGAUUUAAAUGUCUUCUGGCUGCGCUUGAGAGUUGCACUGUGUUUCAUUCAUAGAUGCUAGGUGUUCAAAACUUAAUCUUAUAAUGGAGGUCACUAUGGACACUGAGCGGCCUAACCCCAUAACGUGAGUGUGUGUUGACUGCUGGCCCGUGGCUGCGGAAGCUGAAUGAUGGCCGUUCUGUGGCACAACAGGAAAUGGAGAGUUGAUGUAGGCACAGACCCAGCCUCUGACAGACCCAGCCUCUGACAGACCCGGCCUCUGACAGACCCAGCCUCUGACAGACCCGGCCUCUGACAGACCCGGCCUCUGGACAGACCCGGCCUCUGACAGACCCGGCCUCUGAGACCCGGCCUCUGACAGACCCGGCCUCUGGACAGACCCGGCCUCUGGACAGACCCGGCCUCUGACAGACCCGGCCUCUGGACAGACCCGGCCUCUGGACAGACCCGGCAUCUGAUGCCAACACAGCACCCAGUUAAAGUCCUACUGUAUGUACAGACACACAAUGGUUGCCUAAGUUACUAACUGGUGGUGGAAGUCAGGAGCAGACUGUUCUGGUCUGUGUAAUUUAAUACAAAGGCAUCUUUGUUACUGGUCUGAUUGUUGCCUUGGAAACAAUACAAAAAAAAUAGUGAAAGUACACUGUUUGUCUUUCAGUGCUGGGUUUCUAGUUUUCCCUCCCAAAUGGAGGGACAGAUUUACAACCUCACCAAUUCACUAAACAACAAACAUUUGGGAAGUUGGAAUUAAAGACAAAUCCCAGCAUAGGAGAAACAUUUGAUCCUUUGAUAGAAAACUAUUUAGCUUCUUAUUCCUUACUGAAGCACACAAAACAAGAAUACUGAGUAAAUAUAUUCAACGUAGUGAUUAUUUUGUGAAUCUUUGAAAUGGCAUAUAUUAUAUUUCAGUUUUUUAAA